rnacentral:rRNA from 1 species
ACCUACGGGGGGCAGCAGUGAGGAAUAUUGGUCAAUGGUCGGGAGACUGAACCAGCCAAGCCGCGUGAGGGAGGAAGGUACAGAGUAUCGUAAACCUCUUUUGUCAGGGAACAAAGGCGGGGACGUGUCCCCGGAUGAGUGUACCUGAAGAAAAAGCAUCGGCUAACUCCGUGCCAGCAGCCGCGGUAAUACGGAGGAUGCGAGCGUUAUCCGGAUUUAUUGGGUUUAAAGGGUGCGUAGGCGGGUUAUCAAGUCAGCGGUAAAAUCGUGGAGCUCAACUCCAUCCAGCCGUUGAAACUGAUGAU